rnacentral:misc_RNA from 1 species
GAUGAAGAACGUAGCGAAAUGCGAUAAGUAAUGUGAAUUGCAGAAUUCAGUGAAUCAUCGAAUCUUUGAACGCACCUUGCGCUCCUUGGUAUUCCGAGGAGCAUGCCUGUUUGAGUGUCAUGAAAUUCUCAACCUUUCUGGCUUUUGCUAGUCAGGCUUGGAUUAUGGGAGCUGCUGGCUUUUGAAGUCGGCUCUUCUAAAAUGAAUUAGCAAGAUCAUUGCUGCUCAUCAUUGGUAUGAUAAUUAUCUAUAUCAUUGAGAGUCAGUUUCCUUUAUUGGAAGAUUUUGCUCCUAACGGUCUUUAGCAAGACAACAUUUGACGAUUUUGACCUCAAAUCAGGUAGGACUACCCGCUGAACUUAAGCAUAUCAAUAAGCGGAGGA